AUGAACGCUGGCGGCGCGGAUUAGGCAUGCAAGUCGAACGCGAAAGCGGGGGCAACUCCGCGAGUAGAGUGGCGAAAGGGUGAGUAAUGCUUGGAUGACCUGCCUUCGAGACGGGGACAACAGUUCGAAAGGACUGCUAAUACCCGAUGGCCCUUUCCGGAUGCGUCCGGGAUGGUAAAUGGUUGAUUCCGCUCGAUGAGGGGUCCAAGUCCUAUCAGCUAGUUGGUGAGGUGACGGCUCACCAAGGCGAUGACGGGUAGCCGGACUGAGAGGUCGACCGGCCAUAUGGGAACUGAGACACUGUCCUGACUCCUACGGGAGGCUGCAGUCGAGAAUCUUCUGCAAUGGGCGCAAGCCUGACAGAGCGACGCCGCGUGGAGGACGAAGGCCCUCGGGUUGUAAACUCCUGUCACAUGUUAUGAACCGUACGGGUUGCACCCGUGCCUGACAAAAGCAUGAGAGGAAGUCACGACUAACUUCGU
rnacentral:rRNA from 1 species